GAAACCACGAUUUACAAAUAUUGCAUUGUAUCAUAAAUUGAUCAGCAUCAAAGGGAUCACCGCAUAAACAAUUAGUUGAUGCAACGCCUAACGCCUAAUAAACGUCACCAUAGACGUAAUAAUUAUGCAUGAAAUGCAGUUGAUGGAUCGACAAAAUGAGUUGAGACGAGAAAUCAUGGCUAACGUAGAACAAAAAUUAAGCGACAAACAUA